rnacentral:rRNA from 1 species
GGGCGGUGCGCGAUCGAGACAUUAUGAAUUAUGACUGGAGUUGUAGCUGGCCCUUAAAAACGGCAUGUGCACGCUCCUUUCACUAAUCCACACACACCUGUGCACCUUCGCGGGGGUCUUCUUUUCGGAGAAGGCUCGCGUCCCUUUACACACCCUUUGUAUGUCUUAAGAAUGUCUACUCGAUGUAAUAAAACGCAUCUAAUACAACUUUCAACAACGGAUCUCUUGGCUCUCGCAUCGAUGAAGAACGCAGCGAAAUGCGAUAAGUAAUGUGAAUUGCAGAAUUCAGUGAAUCAUCGAAUCUUUGAACGCACCUUGCGCCCUUUGGUAUUCCGAAGGGCACACCUGUUUGAGUGUCGUGAAAUUCUCAACCCUCUUCAUUUUUUAUGAAUGAAGCAGUGGCUUGGACUUGGAGGUUUUUUGCCGUGCCUCACCGCUCGGCUCCUCUCAAAUGCAUUAGUGCGUCUUGUUGCGACGUGCGCCUCGGUGUGAUAAUUAUCUACGCUGUGGUGCGCUUGCUUCUGUGGAGACGCGCUUUCUAACCGUCCGAAAGGACAGCUUUCAUCGAACUUUGACCUCAAAUCAGGUGGGACUACCCGCUGAACUUAAGCAUAUCAUAAAGCGGAAGGAAACC